rnacentral:lncRNA from 1 species
CCUCAAUCCACUUUCCCCUUAAAAGAGGGGUCAUCACAUGAUGGGGGAAGUACUUCUGUAAAAUAAAAAGCUGUGGAUUCCUUCCAGACUAAUAUGGUUUGAUCAAGCAAGACCCCCUGAAGCUGAGAUGAUACAGCCUUACAGACUACAAAAACAAGGACUUGCCAUGUCAACCCCACCGUGUUCUUCAGCAUCACAGCCGAUGGUGAGCCCUUGGCCUGCGUCUCCUUCGAGCUAUUUGCAGACAAAGUUCCAAAGACAGCAGAAAACUUUCUCUCUCUGAACAUUGGAGAGAAAGGAUUUGGAUAUUAGGGUUCCUCCUUUCACAGAAUUAUCCCAGGAUUCAUGUGCCAGGGUGGUGACUUCACAGCCAUAAUGGCACUGGUGGCAGGUCCAUCUGCGGAGAGAAAUUUGAGGAUGAGAACUUCAUCCUGAAACAUACAGGUUCUGGCAUCUUGUCCAUGGCAAAUGCUGGACCAAACACAAAUGGUUCUCAGUUUUUUUUUAUCUGCACCGCCAAGAGUGAGUGGCUGAAUGGCAAACAUGUGGAAGGUAAAAGAAAGCAUGAACAUUGUGGAAGCCACAGAGCGUUUCUGGUCCAGGAAUGGCAAGACCAGCAAGAAGAUCACCAUUUCUGACUGUGUGCAACUCUAACUCUUUUGACUUGCAGGCUUCUUACCUACCUGACCAUUCCUUCUGUAACUUAGGAGAGCAUCCCCACCACAACUGCUCGCAAUGCCCUGUAAUCUCUGCUCUCACUGAAAUUCUUUGGGUUCCAUAUUUUCCUCAUUCCUCUCCAAGUUUAGCUGGAUUGCAGAGUUAAGUUUAUGAUUAUGAAAUAAAAACUAAGUAAGAAAAAAAAAAGAGUUGGAGCCUUUAAAUAUUUCCACUUCGCCAGCUGGCACAGUGCAAAACUUCAUCAAUAGAAGAUGCUA